rnacentral:rRNA from 1 species
AGAGUUUGAUCCUGGCUCAGGAUGAACGUUGGCGGCGUGCCUAAUACAUGCAAGUCGAACGGUAGAGUGCCCUUCGGGGUAAUUGAGAGUGGCGAACGGGUGAGUAACACGUAACUGAUCUGCCCCAUAUUCUGGGAUAACCUUUGGAAACAGAGGCUAAUACGGGAUGAGAUCGCGGUAGUUAGAGAGCCGUGAUGAAAGUGAAUUAGCGAUAUGGGAUGAGGUUGCGUGCCAUCAGCUAGUUGGUGAGGUAAAGGCUUACCAAGGCGAUGACGGCUAGGGGAUCUGAGAGGGUGGCCCCCCACACUGGGACUGAGACACGGCCCAGACUCCUACGGGAGGCAGCAGUAAGGGAUAUUGCACAAUGGACGGAAGUCUGAUGCAGCGACGCCGCGUGGGNUGAAGAAGGUUUUCGGAUCGUAAAGCCCUUUUCUAUGUGACGAGAGAGGACGGUAGCAUAGGAAUAAGUGUCGGCUAACUACGUGCCAGCAGCCGCGGUAAAACGUAGGACGCGAACGUUAUCCGGAGUUACUGGGCGUAAAGCGCGCGUAGGCGGU